CCCGCCUCUCUGCUACGCCACGGACCUGAUCAGCAUCCCAGAAGUGUAGUUUACUUGAUGCUGUACUCACCGCUGUUCUGUUAAGUUUUGAGAAGUUGAUUUGUUUUUAAUAACGGGACAUUUAUUGAAAUAUCUCAGUUGGCUUUUUAAUUGGAUUAAAUUGUUGCUACAAGGUUAAAAGCUGGUGUGGUGUUUACCAGUCUGUCCGCUGCUCCUAAACGGAUAAAAGUGAAUUUUUUUUAAACUCUGGGAAAAUGCUUGAGGCUGAUGGAAGAAACGCUUAUCUACAAAACCGCUAAAUGUCCUGAUCGUUUUAGGAUGUCUGCACUUUCCUCUCCAUGCUGUUGUCUCCACUGUUUAUCUCUUCAAGGUCUCUCACUUUGACUCAGCAGAACGUCUGACAGGAGGAAUGAAAGGAAGGCAGAGGCGAUUUUACAGAGUUGAAGACCUUUCAGUUUGAGACCCAAACACAGAUGCACUGUAAACGAAGGCGUCAGUUUUAAAAGGCCAAAAAUCCAACAAUCAUCUCACAAACGUGCGACUCAGUCUCGACAAAACUGACACUUUGUGAACACAACAAAGUUUCUCGUGGCUGUUUUUUGCUAAACAGACUUCAUUGAAUUCGUCUUU